GUUGGGUAGGGGAGCGUUCUGUAAGCCUGUGAAGGUGGCCUGUGAGGGUUGCUGGAGGUAUCAGAAGUGCGAAUGCUGACAUAAGUAACGAUAAAGCGGGUGAAAAGCCCGCUCGCCGGAAGACCAAGGGUUCCUGUCCAACGUUAAUCGGGGCAGGGUGAGUCGACCCCUAAGGCGAGGCCGAAAGGCGUAGUCGAUGGGAAACGGGUUAAUAUUCCCGUACUUGGUGUUACUGCGAAGGGGGGACGGAGAAGGCUAUGUUGGCCGGGCGACGGUUGUCCCGGUUUAAGCGUGUAGGCUGGUUUUCCAGGCAAAUCCGGAAAAUCAAGGCUGAGGCGUGACGACGAGGCACUACGGUGCUGAAGCAACAAAUGCCCUGCUUCCAGGAAAAGCCUCUAAGCAUCAGGUAACACGAAAUCGUACCCCAAACCGACACAGGUGGUCAGGUAGAGAAUACCAAGGCGCUUGAGAGAACUCGGGUGAAGGAACUAGGCAAAAUGGUGCCGUAACUUCGGGAGAAGGCACGCUGAUAUGUAGGUGAAGCGGUUUACCCGUGGAGCUGAAA
rnacentral:rRNA from 1 species